GACGAACGCUGGCGGCGUGCUUAACACAUGCAAGUCGAACGGAAAGGCCCUGCUUUUGUGGGGUGCUCGAGUGGCGAACGGGUGAGUAACACGUGAGUAACCUGCCCUUGACUUUGGGAUAACUUCAGGAAACUGGGGCUAAUACCGGAUAGGAGCUCCUGCUGCAUGGUGGGGGUUGGAAAGUUUCGGCGGUUGGGGAUGGACUCGCGGCUUAUCAGCUUGUUGGUGGGGUAGUGGCUUACCAAGGCUUUGACGGGUAGCCGGCCUGAGAGGGUGACCGGCACAAUGGGGACGGAGUAACGGCCAAGGCUCUAACGGGGGGAAGCGGGGGGAAAAGUUGCAAAUGGGGCGAAGGCUGAAGGCGGCAACGCGGGUUGGGGAAGGACGCCUUUCGGGUUGUAACCGCUUUCGCCUGUGACGAAGCGUGAGUGACGGUAAUGGGUAAAGAAGCACCGGCUAACUACGUG
rnacentral:rRNA from 1 species